rnacentral:rRNA from 1 species
UACGUAGGUGGCAAGCGUUGUCCGGAUUUACUGGGUGUAAAGGGCGUGUAGCCGGGUUGACAAGUCAGAUGUGAAAUCCUGCGGCUUAACCGCAGAACUGCAUUUGAAACUGUUGAUCUUGAGUGGAAGAGAAGUAUGCGGAAUGCGUGGUGUAGCGGUGAAAUGCAUAGAUAUCACGCAGAACCCCGAUUGCGAAGGCAGCAUGCCGGCUUCCGACUGACGCUGAAGCACGAAAGCGUGGGGAUCGAACAGG